rnacentral:rRNA from 1 species
AAAUAUGAGGGUGUGGUUUGCUGGCAACAGC